rnacentral:rRNA from 1 species
UACGAAGGAUGCAAGCGUUAUCCGGAUUUAUUGGGUUUAAAGGGUGCGUAGGCGGACUUAUAAGUCAGUGGUGAAAUCUCGUUGCUUGACAACGAACGUGCCAUUGAUACUGUAGGUCUUGAGUACAGAUGCCGUUGGCGGAAUGUGUCAUGUAGCGGUGAAAUGCAUAGAUAUGACACAGAACACCGAUUGCGAAGGCAGCUGACGAAACUGUAACUGACGCUGAGGCACGAAAGCGUGGGGAUCAAACAGG